rnacentral:lncRNA from 1 species
UGUACAUGUGAAAACUGAACAAUUAUGGAAGCAAUUGAAGAGCUGCUGCCAAGAAAAGGAUGUCAUGGAGGAACUCAAUGAAUAUGAGGGACAUGGUGCAAACAACCUGCAUAACAGAUCACCCAGGAUUCAAAUCAAAGUGUCUGGAUGUUUGGGUGUUGCAGACAGCCUACCAAAGGUAUUCGAAGAGGGACAGACAACAAGCAGGUGAUCAGCCACGUAAUGAAAUGUAUCACUAUGUGGCAAACCGCCAGCUGGUGAGAUUUUGUUGGGGAAUACUUUGUAAAAACCACAGAAUGCCAUCAUGUGCCAUUCAAAAGAUCUGUGCUACGUUUCCAUCUGACAACUACACCUCGUUCAAGUAUCAGCACUUUAUUAGAGUCAAUAACAAAACACAAUGUCAGUUCAGUGAUUGAAUCUGCUUCUAUACAGCACAACAGCACCCCUCUUGUUUGGUUCUUCCAUCGACUGCUGAGUGGAGCUGGGACUUCGAAAGGUUCCUCAUCAACAUUGUCUUGGCACAAAGCAUUGAAAGCAUGUAUGUAUGUGUGUAUAUAUCUAAUAACAUUCAUAAUAAAAGAUGUGGUUAAAUCGAUUGAGAGAGCAAUGAUAUCAAAUUAAACAAAUAUAUGAAUUAUGUACAUGCAUGUGGUGAUUGUAUGUUUAACACGUCAUGUGCAGGUCUACUGGUACUACAACUGUAAUGUACAGAUGACGUACAGUCUGUAUACUUACUGGUGUACAGCUUCCUCCCCAGUGUGGAUGUCCAAUAGAUGGUCGCUGAUCAUACAGGUACCCUCAGUUCUGUCAGUGGCUUCAUUCACCAAAUGUUUCAAUACCUCUGUAAUAAUAGGGUGAUAGUUAAAAGUUAAAUAGACUCACGCUUUUACUCAAACUACAGAAUAAAAUGGGGAAGCCUGUUAUAAACAUUGAAUCUAUACUUAAUUAAGCUAAUGAAGUGUAAUUAGUUAUUAAUACUACAAACAAUAACACAGAUAUCGGCUAGGGCCUGGUGUAAACUCGUUACAUACAGUAGGCCUAGACCGAUUAUGGCUUUAUGCUUGAAACAAUAAAUACAGACACCCUCUCCACAUUUAAGAGCAG